rnacentral:piRNA from 1 species
UGAACUACAAAGCAAGUUACAGCACAGACAGA